rnacentral:rRNA from 1 species
AUUGAACGCUGGCGGCAGGCCUAACACAUGCAAGUCGAACGAGUGGCGCACGGGUGAGUAAUGUCUGGGAAACUGCCUGAAGGAGGGGGAUAACUACUGGAAUCGGUAGCUAAUACCUCAUACCAUCGGAUGUGCCCAGAUGGGAUUAGCUAGGAGGUGGGGUAAAGGCUCCCCUGGGCGACGAUCCCUAGCUGGUCGGAGAGGAUGUCCAGCCACACUGGAACUGAGACACGGUCCAGAGUCCUACGGGAGGCAGCAGUAGGGAUUAGUGCACAAGGGGCGCAAACCUGAUGCAGCCAUACCGCGUGUAUGAAGAAGGCCUUCGGGUUGGAAAGUACUUUCAGCGGGGAGGCGUUACCCGCAGAAGAAGCACCGGCUAACUCCGUGCCAGCAGCCGCGGUAAUUC